UCCGUGCACCUUGAUUAUAGCUUCGCAGUGACAACCUUGAUCGAAUGUGUGGGAUAGGUGGGAGGUGGUGACAUAGAUUUUCCAAUCCUAAAAGAUCAUUAUUUCACUGUGAGGUGGAUAGUUUAUUUGGGGCGGAUGCCUCCUUAAGAGUAAUGGAGGUGUGCAAAGGUAAGCUCAAGCUAAGAUUCUACUUGUGAACGUGAUGGUAUAAGCUUGCAUGACUGUGAGCUCGAUUGAUCAAAUAGAGACGAAAGUUGGCCAUAAUGAUCCAAGAGUCCUGUGUGGAAGGGCUCCCGCUCAACAUAUCAAAGGUCCGUUGUGGAUAAUAGGCUGAUGACUCCCACGAGCUCUUAUCGACGGAGUUGUUUGGCACCUCGAUGUCGACUCAUCACAUCCUGGGGUUGAAGAAGGUCCCAAGGGUUUGGUUGUUCGUCGAUUUAAGUGGUAUGUGAGUUGGGUUAGAACAUCGUGAGAUAGUUC
rnacentral:ncRNA from 1 species